CGUACACUCCUGCGGGAGGCAGCAGUGGGGAAUAUUGCACAAUGGGCGCAAGCCUGAUGCAGCCAUGCCGCGUGUAUGAAGAAGGCCUUCGGGUUGUAAAGUACUUUCAGCGGGGAGGAAGGCGAUAAGGUUAAUAACCUUGUCGAUUGACGUUACCCGCAGAAGAAGCACCGGCUAACUCCGUGCCAGCAGCCGCGGUACUACGGAGGGUGCAAGCGUUAAUCGGAAUUACUGGGCGUAAAGCGCACGCAGGCGGUCUGUCAAGUCGGAUGUGAAAUCCCCGGGCUCAACCUGGGAACUGCAUUCGAAACUGGCAGGCUAGAGUCUUGUAGAGGGGGGUAGAAUUCCAGGUGUAGCGGUGAAAUGCGUAGAGAUCUGGAGGAAUACCGGUGGCGAAGGCGGCCCCCUGGACAAAGACUGACGCUCAGGUGCGAAAGCGUGGGGAGCAAACAGGAUUAGAAACCCCGGUAGUCCC
rnacentral:rRNA from 1 species